AUGCAUGAUGAUGACACUUUCUAAAUAAUUCCUUAAAUCUUUUCCAAUCCUCAUAAAUAGUCACCAUCUAACUGAGUAGAUGAGGUGAUAUUAUUUCUAAGCUU